rnacentral:misc_RNA from 1 species
AAGUCGUAACAAGGUCUCCGUAGGUGAACCUGCGGAGGGAUCAUUAACACGAAAGAUGGGGUCACUCCCAUCUCUUCUACUAACCACACGCGAACUUAUCUUCUGUCGUCGUAACAGGGUGGUCCAUGGGCGUCGUCCUAGGGUCUCGUGAUGACAGUCGUAGCCUGGUCGUCUUCGGGCGAUCAGACCCUGGGUAACCACUAUUAUUAACUCCAAAACAAUUCUAUAACCAUCCUAACCGAUGGUACUAUUUCUAUUCAUUCAUCUGCGCUCGUCGCGAAUGAGUGACUACAUCUAUAACGCGAAACAACUCUUAGCAACGGAUAUCUUGGCUCCC